rnacentral:lncRNA from 1 species
CUCAUGUGGCAUUGCUGUGGAUGAAGUCUUAUGUACAAGGUUUGUGCCCUUCUUUGCUUGUUGAGUUUGAAAUGAGAAAUAGAACCGAGGAAUCUACCAGCCACAUAUGAAAGGUAAGGGAUUCCUCCAACAUUAAAUAUAGAAAGUAUUGAAAAUGUUGAAUACUGAGGCAAUACAGAUGAAAUUCAGUUUUUAUUUCUGACAGAAUCAUGCCUACUUACAAUGAAUAUAGGCUUGAAAUUGAGCUUUCCAUCCUAUCACUGGGGGCAAAUGAUUUUCCACAAAGUAAAUAUGUAUAUGUACAUGGUUUGUCAUUUACAUUUAUUGAUAUAGUACCUGUAAUAUAAAAAUAACAUCUAUAUUAAAAAAUUUCACGACAUUUUUAAAUUACAGAGGGCAAGAAAGGUAGUCAUAGAUCCCAAACUGUGCAGAUAUAUCACAGGUAGAGUAGUAACAUACAAGUGUACCAUUUAAUAAUUUAAAUGAAAUAGAUAUGUAUUUGAAUAGGUAGGGUUUAUUUUAGCACCAAGUAGAUUAUUCCAAAUAGGAUAAAAUCCACAUAGGUUAAAUUAUUGAUUAAGCCCUGUAUGUUGAGGUUUCCUUCUCAUUUUUGGUUUGCACUUAAGAUAGAAAUAACAUUAUUUUCAAGCUGAACAUUUUAGAGACUAGUUCAAUUUAACAUAAAUUUAAAGUUUCUAAAUAUUCAAGAAUUACAUAACUAUACUAUUGUUUCCUUUUCAAAUUGGUUUCACAAGACCAGAUAAUAGUUCCUGCUGCACAUUUAGGCAUUUUAUUUUGAAUGUCCCUUCUCGUCAGCCUUUUCCCACAGAAUUUGGAAUCCUGCUCCUCUCAUGUUUUAUGGAAAAGGCCCUCUGCCGUUCUCUCAUUCGGUUUUCCGGUUCUGUGCCUUUGUCUGGAGGCCCGUUGCGGCCGCCGGGUCUAAGGGCUCUGCACAGCGAGGGAAGCGGACCGCUCCGAGAGCGGCCCCGUCAAGGCUGAAAGGAGCACAGAGCCUUCUGAAGCGCGCGCCUGAAUGGGGGACACGUAGUAACUUAUGA